UAUUUUAGAUAAUUUUAGAAUAUAUUAAUUGAUAUUUUAUUUGAAUAAAUUUUAGAUAUCAACCAUUAGUUUAAGCAUGGAGAUGGAGUUUCCACAGCAUGAUCCAACUGUAUCAUGCUUAAAGAAGAAGUUGAAUAUGAUAAUAUAAAAUUUAUGAAGCCAAUGAUAAAGGACAGAAAAACUACUGACAAUUUUAGUACUAAAGAAACUACACCAAAGACUACUAGUUCAAAAAUAAAUGCACUCAUGGGUGAAAGACUUUUGGCUCUUUUGGAAAGGGUGCCAUCUGAAAGCCAAUUGUAUCUACAAUCAAUGGCAGAAGGCUUGGAAAGUAUGAGCCAUUCAAAUAAAUACUUUUUCAAUUGUGAAGUAUCAAGAUUGUAUCAUACAUUGAUGGAACAAUCAAGGGAUCAAAAUACUAUUGAAUUAUCACCAACAAAUUCAAC